rnacentral:rRNA from 1 species
UACGUAGGGGGCAAGCGUUGUCCGGAAUUAUUGGGCGUAAAGAGCUCGUAGGCGGUUUGUCACGUCGGAUGUGAAAUCCCGGGGCUUAACCUCGGGUCUGCAUUCGAUACGGGCUGACUAGAGUUCGGUAGGGGAGACUGGAAUUCCUGGUGUAGCGGUGAAAUGCGUAGAUAUCAGGAGGAAUACCGAUGGCGAAGGCAGGUCUCUGGGCUGACACUGACGCUCAUGCACGAAAGCGUGGGGAGCAAACAGG